UACGUAGGGGGCAAGCGUUGUCCGGAUUUAUUGGGCGUAAAGAGCGUGUAGGCGGUUUGGUAGGUCCGCUGUGAAAACUCGAGCUCAACCUCGAGACGCCGGUGGAAACCAUCAGACUAGAGUCCGGAAGAGGAGAGUGGAAUUCCUGGUGUAGCGGUGAAAUGCGCAGAUAUCAGAAAGAACACCCGUGGCUAAGGCGGCUCUCUAGUACGGUACUGACGCUGAGACGCGAAAGCGUGGGGAGCAAACAGG
rnacentral:rRNA from 1 species